rnacentral:rRNA from 1 species
UAAGGAAUAUUGCUCAAUGGGAGAAAUCCUGAAGCAGCAACGCCGCGUGGAGGAUGAAGAGUCUAUGACUUGUAAACUCCUGUAAAGAAGGAAAAAAUUCCCAUUUGAUGGGAGAUGAUGGUACUUCUGGAGUAAGCCCCGGCUAACUACGUGCCAGCAGCCGCGGUAAUACGUAGGGGGCAAGCGUUGUCCGGAUUUACUGGGUGUAAAGGGUGCUCAGGCGGAUUUGUAAGUCAGAGGUGAAAUCUUACAGCUUAACUGUGAAACUGCCUUUGAUACUGCAAGCCUAGAGUAUGGAAGAGAGUGAUGGAAUAUCUGGUGUAGCAGUGAAAUGCGUAGAUAUCAGAUAGAACACCAAUGGCGAAGGCAGUCACUUGGUCCAUUACUGACGCUAAAGCACGAAAGCGUGGGUAGCAAACA